rnacentral:rRNA from 1 species
UACGAAGGGGGCAAGCGUUGUUCGGAAUUACUGGGCGUAAAGGGCGCGUAGGCGGCUUAUCAAGUCAGGCGUGAAAUUCCCGGGCUCAACCUGGGGGCUGCGCUUGAUACUGAUUGGCUUGAAUGCGGGAGAGGAUAGUGGAAUUCCCAGUGUAGAGGUGAAAUUCGUAGAUAUUGGGAAGAACACCGGUGGCGAAGGCGGCCCUCUGGACGGAUACUGACGCUGAGGCGCGAAAGCUAGGGGAGCAAA